GGAGGGUGCAGGCGUUGUUCGGAAUUAUUGGGCGUAAGGAGCGUGUAGGCGGUUUGGCAAGUCAGAUGUGAAAUCCCUUAGCUUAACUAAGGAAGUGCAUUUGAAACUGCUUCACUAGAGUACAGUAGGGGAAAGUGGAAUUCCCAGUGUAGAGGUGAAAUUCAUAGAUAUUGGGAGGAACACCGGUGGCGAAGGCGGCUUUCUGGCCUGAUACUGACGCUGAGACGCGAAAGCGUGGGGAGCAAACAGGGAUUAGAUACCCUGGUAGUCCACGCCGUAAACGAUGGGCACUAGGUGUAGGGAGUGUUGACCCCUCUCUGUGCCGAAGCUAACGCAUUAAGUGCCCCCGCCUGGGGAGUACGGUCGCAAGGCUA
rnacentral:rRNA from 1 species